GUAAUUAAAAUUUAUAGCAAGGUGUGUAUAUAAACCUCAAGAGAACUAGCAAUUCUGAGAUGAUUGCAUAGGUAGGUAUUCAUUCUAUCACAGUUCUGCUUACAGCAUUACCUACACAUAGAUAAAAAGUUGACACAAUGGAGAAACUUACAAUUUUUGUGAUUGGUUUAUUGAUUGUCUGCAUUACAGUAGUUCCAGAAAUCGAAUCUCGACAAAUGGAACCUGGAAUGCAUUGUUAUUUGAGUGGAGGUAAAUUCUAUGACGAGGACACUUGCCUCGUGAAUUGUAAAAAAGGGUGUGCAAUCAAAGCAUGCGGCGGAUUUAAAUACUGUAAGCGGAUUCGAGGCUAUAAGGUGGAUUAUUAUGGUUGUUAUUGCCAAAUGGGUGAUCAGCAAUAGGUACCUACAUGUGCAUAAGGCCAAAGUUUCAAGUACGAGUUAAUCUAGGCCUUCUGUGCUGUUACGUUAUAUCACAAUAAAUCCAUUCUUAACUCAAUCAAUUUUAUUUAAGCCAUGUUCACAUGCAUGAAUUUGAAAUUUUUGUGGAGAAGGUAAAGUACAUAGGUAAGUACCUACAUUAUAAUAGGAUUAAAAUAUACAAUUACAAGGGAACUCAUCAUCACUGAUGUUGGCUCAUGAAAAGUUCAUGUCAACCAGGUACUUAAGUAUUUACUGAAUUCAAUUUGAUUUUUGUUAUGACAACUUUUUCAAACUGAGAAAUUUAAAAAUCCGUUGACAGAGCUCCUAAAGAGCUUAAAACCACCGCCAAUCAAUUUGAUAAAACCGAACAUGAGACAGUAGGUAGUAUGUAUAUGGCAGCUGAAACUUUAAUCAUACCCUAAGGUCGAUAUUCUCAAUUGAUUAGGGCCAUCGAAUCGCAAAUCCGAAGUGACAUUCACAGCAAGGCACCUAGGUACUGUUAAAGUAAAUUUUGCUUCAAUAAUAACAUACAGCCAACCAAGAGCCUAAACAAUUUGAAAAAUGUGUUUUUAUAUAAUAUCUACACUUAUACAUUCAAGAUAUGAAACUUGCCAGUGUUUUCAUUUCAAAGGUGAAUUCUACAACAAAAUAUACAAAGAAUUGAAGCAUACGUUUUCAAAACGCACCAAGUCCAAAAAAAUAUUGAUAAGAAAUUCAUGCUACUUAGUACAAUUUGGAAACAUACACUGAGAGAACUGUAUAGUACAAAUUACUGUAAAAUUUAGUAAAGUGGCGCUCUGGUCACCCUUUUUGUAAAAUUUACUGCAUUUUAUAGUACAUACUAUACUAAAAAAUGUAGUAGAAAAAGUAAUUUCUACUACAUUUCUUAGUAGUACAUAUUAUGUACUUAAUAUGAAAUGUAGUAAAUACUACAAAAAAUGACCCAGGGUCUCCUUCACUACAUUUUCCAAUCAUUUUUACUAAAGUGAUUUUUCUCAGUGUAGGAAUGGCCCAUAUUGGUUGAUUUUUUGAUAUGUUGUAGCCAAGACCCUUAGGCACAACAUAUUAAAAAAUCAGCCAUGGGAAAAAUAUUCUCAUCAGUUUUAAAUAAUAGGCUCAAAAAUAUCCUAGAAAGUAAACAACCUGUGGAACAGGCAGGUUUUUAGGGAUUUUCAACCACUGACCAUUCACAUGUUUUAAACCAGAUCAUUGAAAAGAGCAAUGAGUACCAACUAGAAAUUUACCUACUAUUUAUAGAUUAUAUAAAAGCCUUUGAUUCUCUAGAACACGAGUUCAUGAUUGAAGCACUAAUUAACCAAGGUGUGUCUAUCAUGUAUGUGAAAAUGAUUAUAGAACUUUACUCAGAACUGAAGGCAAGGAUAAUUACAGAAAUGGAAGGGGAAUAUUUUGAUGUGGGAAAAGGGGUAAAACAAGGGGAUCCUCUCUCGGCACUGUUAUUUAUCUCCUCUUUGGAAGAAAUUUUUCGCAAAUUAAACUGGAAAAAAAAGGAAUUGUCAUAGAUGGGUCCUACCUGAGCGAGUUGAGAUUUGCAGAUGAUGUUGUUCUUUUUGCAAGUAGCAUAUCCCAAUGACAAUGUAUGGUUGAAGAACUCAAUAGUUAGGGGAAAAAAGCUGGUCUACAUAUAAAUUUUGGCAAAACAAAACUAUUAACCAAUUCAAAAAAUAACACUACCUUACAGAUUGAUGGUCAAAAAAUAGAAGGUGAAAAAGAAACUAUUUAUCUAGGACAACGGGUAAACAUAGGAGGUUUUAACGAAGGGAGGGAGAUUCAAAGAAGAAUAGCACUAUCAUGGAAUAAAUUUUGGUCAUUAAAACAAAUCUUCAAGGGACCCUUUACAGAAAACCAAAAAAGUAUAAUCUUUAACUCAUGUAUUGAACCAGUUAUUACUUAUGGAGCACACAUGUGGGCAGUUGAUAAGAAAUCUUUAAACAGAAUUCGGACCACACAAAAUCGAAUGGAAGGAUCUAUUUUGAACUUAAAAUUGAGGGAUAGGGUAAAGUUGAAAUUUAUUAAAUCCAGACUAAAAUACAAUAAAGAUUUGGCCAAAGAGGUCAGAAAGAAAAAAUGGAAAUGGGCGGGCCAUGUUGCAAGGAGCAGCUCACUGAGAUGGACCCAUCGGGUGACCUUUUGGCAGAUGUAUGGGAAAAGAAAUCAGGGCAGGCAGAAAAUGAGAUGGAGAGACGACAUAUGCAAACUUCUUCAACAUAGCCACUUCCACAGAAUAGCUGCGAACAGAAGAGAAUGGAUACAGUUGGGGGAGGCCUAUGCUCUUACUUAGGGCCAUGGCAGUGUUAUAAUUUAAGAUUGUUAAUACUGCUGUAAAGUAAAGGCUAUUAUUAUUAUUAUUAUUAUUAUUAUUAUUAUUAGAUAUAUUACACGGUCAAUUACCUACAUAUGUAUCUAUGUUGUUGUUUUUUUGUAUUCUUCUGGGUAAUUAAAUUUCAUAGCAAGGUAUGUCAGUGUAUAUAUACUUCAAGUGAACUAGCAAUUUUGAGAUACUUAAAAAUUCACUCUAUCACAGUUCUGUUUCUAGUAAGUAUUAGAUAAAAGUUCUAACACAAUGGAAAAGCUUAUAAUUUUCGUGAUCGGUUUAUUGAUUGUUUGCGUUACAGUAGUUCCAGAAAUUGAAUCUCGACGAAUGGACUCGAUAAUGGAAUCUGGAAUGGAACCUAAAUGGUGGUGUCCCGUGCAUUUAGAAAGAUUUGACGAUAAAAGCACUUGCGAGAUGACUUGUAAAAAAUAUUGUGAACGCUGUGGUGGAUUUAGAGUCUGUGGGGUAAUUACGGAUGUGUCUGAGAGAAAGCAUGUUUGUUAUUGCCGGAAUAAGUAAUGCACUUGUGAUCACAAGCCCGCAAGGUGAAAAUUGCAAGUAUUGUGACCAGCUGAUGUGGGCUGACUUUUUGUGCUAUUGUAAUUCAUAUUAAUAUUUUACAUUUAAAUAAAUCUUCCAAUCCUUUAGGAUUGAAAUAUAUUUUCGAUUUUCUUAAUUAAUCUUAAUCCUUAUUCAAUUAUUAAAGAUAUAUUAUCACAAUAAAUCCAUUUUGAGCACAA